rnacentral:rRNA from 1 species
UACGUAGGGAGCAAGCGUUGUCCGGAAUCAUUGGGCGUAAAGCGCGCGUAGGCGGCCUCGUAAGUCCGUUGUGAAAGUCAAAGGCUCAACCUUUGAAAGCCGAUGGAUACUGUGAGGCUAGAGUCCGGAAGAGGCGAGUGGAAUUCCUGGUGUAGCGGUGGAAUGCGCAGAUAUCAGGAGGAACACCAAUAGCGAAGGCAGCUCGCUGGGACGGUACUGACGCUAAGGCGCGAAAGCGUGGGGAGCGAACAGG